UCGCUCACUUUAGAAGCAUAUAUACUAAAAUUGGAACCAUAGAGAAAUUAGCAUGGCCCCAGAGCAAGGAUGACAUGCUAAUUCAUGAAGUGGCUCAUCUUUUA